rnacentral:ncRNA from 1 species
ACACUCUGGAGAGCGGCGCAUGACGCCCACCGAAGGAGCCCAGCCUGAUACAUCGGUUGGAUAAACUCUCAGGUCACAGGACAGAUGGGG